rnacentral:rRNA from 1 species
UGGCUGUCGUCAGCUCGUGUUGUGAAAUGUUGGGUUAAGUCCCGCAACGAGCGCAACCCUUAUCCUUAUUUGCCAGNNCGUAAUGGCGGGAACUCUAAGGAGACUGCCGGUGAUAAACCGGAGGAAGGUGGGNNNGACGUCAAGUCAUCAUGGNCCUUACGGGAUGGGCUACACACGUGCUACAAUGGCAGGUACAGAGGGCAGCAAUACCGCGAGGUGGAGCGAAUCCCACAAAGCUUGUCGUAGUCCGGAUUGGAGUCUGCAACUCGACUCCAUGAAGUCGGAAUCGCUAGUAAUCGCUAGA